rnacentral:tRNA from 1 species
GAGUUCUUAUAGUUGA